rnacentral:pre_miRNA from 12 species
UAGAAAAAUUCAUCCAGCUUCUCUUCCAGGUUCUUCCUGGAGUCAGGAAAAGCUGGUUUGAGAGGGGGAAAAAAAAAAAGAA